rnacentral:SRP_RNA from 1 species
CAUGCCAGCCGGGGAAUUAGCGGGGCCUUGUACCUGAAAUCCGCUACAGCAGGGGUGGAUUCCUCUGUUGAGGAUGGAGCUAACACGAAUUGACUGGCUUUCGCUGUGUUGAGGAAUGGGUCCUACGCAAUCAGGAGCUGUGAACCAUGUCAGGUGGGGAACCAAGCAGCAUUAAGCAGAAUACCUGGUGUGCCGUGGGUCAGCCUGUUCUGAGCAGAGAAUUCAAGUAUCGCGCGGGAGUAAUGUUCGAUUUAGAGGUGCAU